rnacentral:lncRNA from 1 species
GAACUCACAUUUUCUCACUCCAAUUCAGAAGUAUUUUUCACAUUCAACACAAUCUUUUUCUAGCCAAGGAAAGGCAGGGACCCUCAUUUUAUUUCUUAAAACAUUUUGGACCAAACAUUUGUGUUUGUACUCAGCUUUAAAUUUUAAUUAGACUGUACUUGUGCUUAUUUCUUUGCUCAAACAUUACCACUGGAAAUUCUGCUCUUUCCAUUUUAGAAUGGAGAAAAGCAAAACACAGACCACCCCAAUAAAUGGACUGCCCACUUCAGCAGUGGAAAGAACAGAGAUUGGAUGCCUUUGCCAGAUGAAGGCUGUUCAUGGUUCAUCGACUGCUGCAGUCCUGUUGAUGCUGCUGCACAUUCUUCUGCAGGAAUCGACGUACCUCUAUUAUCAGCAUAUCAAACCAUUUCUCUUUGAAAAAUAUUUGACAGAAGAGAAAAAGGAACAAUUUCCUAGAUUAAAUUGCCACCGAAUUUUCACCAGCAAAGCAGCUGGAUACUUGGAACCUGUCUGCUUGUGACUGUCAGUGUAAAGUAAAGUGGAAUCAGCAUGACAGAAUAAGUCUGUGGAUACUCAGGUUGUGUGGCGUGUUUUCCUGUUUAAGUCAUUUAUGUCCAAAAAAGCUCAUUUUUGCCUUGGAUGCUAAGAAAUUUGGAGAUGCCACAGAUACUUCUGGAAUUUCUCAUUGUAACUGACUCUGAUGGGCACCUGCUUCAUUUUUAGUACCUCCAAGCAAAUGGAAAGUGCUAUCUGCAAUGUUGUGGAGGUCAGAGAAGACUGCUCAAGCAGGAGUCCACAACAUUUUUCCUUUUUCACUACAGCAUAUAAUCUAAGGAAGGAUCACUUUCAUUUUGGUGCUAUGCUUUGAAAUAGCUUUGCCCUGAGAGAUUGACUCUAUCCAUUCCUUUACACUGAGAACAGUGUUAAGCGUUCUGUCUGCAUGAAUACAGAACUGCUGGCACAGUACUGCACCAGCUAAGAAGCAAUAGAAUGAGCUAAGGAGCCUGUUGCCUCCUUCCUGAAACACAGAACUUCUCUGUCCCUAAUGCAAUCCCAUCCCCA